CGUUUCCACACCAGGAACAGUUUUAGCCAGCCCAAAGCUGACUUUGGAGUUGCAGUUGCUUCCGCCUUCUUUCCCGAGAAUCACAUGCUACAGACUUGUAGCAUCUCUCAUCAUCUUCCUGUUGCCCCCUCCUCUCUGAAGAUCAAAGCUCACCUCAAGGGAACUUCCAGAGAGAAGAAAUAGCCAACGGAACCCC